rnacentral:rRNA from 1 species
UACGUAGGAGGCGAGCGUUGUCCGGAAUUACUGGGUGUAAAGCGCGCGUAGGUGGGAGGCCAAGUCUGUGGUGAAAGCGCCCGGCUCAACUGGGCAUGGUCCAUGGAAACUGGUCACCUGGAGGACGGUAGAGGCGAGUGGAAUUCCCGGUGUAGUGGUGAAAUGCGUAGAGAUCGGGAGGAACACCAGUGGCGAAGGCGGCUUGCUGGGCCGGACCUGACGCUGAGACGCGAAGGCGUGGGGAGCGAACGGG